rnacentral:rRNA from 1 species
UACGGAGGGGGCUAGCGUUGUUCGGAAUUACUGGGCGUAAAGCGCACGUAGGCGGCUUUGCAAGUUAGGUGUGAAAGCCCUGGGCUCAACCUAGGAAUUGCACUUGAUACUGUUUGGCUUGAGUUCGGGAGAGGUGAGUGGAAUUCCCAGUGUAGAGGUGAAAUUCGUAGAUAUUGGGAAGAACGCCAGUGGCGAAGGCGGCUCACUGGACCGACACUGACGCUGAGGCGCGAAAGCGUGGGGAGCAAACAGGG